rnacentral:rRNA from 1 species
UACGGAGGGUGCGAGCGUUAUCCGGAAUUACUGGGUUUAAAGGGUGCGUAGGCGGCUUUGUAAGUCAGGAGUGAAAGUUUGCGGCUCAACCGUAAACUUGCUUUUGAUACUGCAGAGCUAGAAUCAGGAUGAGGUUAGCGGAAUGUGGCAUGUAGCGGUGAAAUGCUUAGAUAUGCCAUAGAACACCAAUUGCGAAGGCAGCUGGCUAGACCUGCAUUGACGCUGAGGCACGAAAUCGUGGGGAGCGAACAGG